rnacentral:misc_RNA from 1 species
GCAGAAGCAAUGUUGAUAGGUAAAGGAUGUGCCACUCCGCUGGGAAGUUGAUAGUUAAAAGCAGAAUGAGUAGCACUAGUAGAUGCUGAUGAAGCAGAAGCCAUGUUGAUAGGUAAACGAUUGAACGCAGACGCUGACGAUGAAGAAGAAGGACCAAGAUAGGGUGGUGGUGGCUGAAUUGUCUGAGGAAAAGGCCUUUGUAGAUAAUUAGGCGAUGGUUGUGAAAUGAGGAAAGGAUUAUUAUUGGCGAUAGGAGUAGGAGCAACAGAAUUAGGCACAGUAGGAAACAAAUCAAAUCUGUUUCGAAUAGGGAUAAUAGGAGGAGCAGCAAAGGGUGGUCCUGGAAUCCCUGUAAAUUCUUGAACCAUAGCUCUGAAAUUAUUUGCAUCUGUUGUCAACACAGUAGUUGGUGCCUUCCUCGAAGCUCUCGAUCUUUUCUUCGGAUUCCGUGCCUGUUCGCCAAUUGAUGGAUCCGCUGCACCUGCCGACUGUUCGGUAACAGUAAUAGCACUUACAUUUCCAUCACCGGCGUCGUGUUGCUGUGAUGUCGGUGGGAAAGUAAUACUACCAGUAGUAGUAUCAAAAAUUAAGGAAUUAUUAAACUCAGACAUCAG